UGUCUACGGCCAUACCACUCUGGACACACCUGAUCUCAGAAGCUGAGCAGGGUCAGGCCUGUCUAGUACUUGGAUGGAAAACCACCUGGUAAUACCAGGUGUUGUAACAG
rnacentral:rRNA from 1 species